UGAACACGGACAAACAAAUGUGUAAAUA
rnacentral:piRNA from 1 species